GCAUGUGUAUCAUUCCCCUAUGGUUUAUAACCCCUGAGUCUGGGGGUAAUGGCACGGGGACCCACCAGCUUGUCUGCCGCCAUCUGGGGUACAGUGCUGGAAGCGGGGAUACAGGGACAAAUAAGACACAGAUCCUGUUCCUAAAGAGAGUCUUUUCUAAGGCACCAACUACUUCCUUCAAGCAGCAGCCAGAGAUCUUUGCUUAAUGGCUGAGAAACACAGAGGAGAGACCCAGAGAGAAGGAGAAGGCCGCAUGAAGAUGGAGCAGAGACUGGAGUUAUUCAGCCAAGUCAAGGAAUGCCUGGAGCACCAGAAGCCGGAAGAGGCAAGGAAGGAUCCUCCCUUAGAGCAUUUGGAAGAGUGUGGCCCUGCCAACACCUUGACUUCAAACUUCUGGCCUCCAUAACUAUGAAAU
rnacentral:lncRNA from 1 species